AUUCCUGGGGAGGAGGAGACAAAACCAACACAGGACAAUUUUAGUCAAUUGGACUACUAUCUUCAAAAAUAUCAUUAUGAGCCACUGGGAUGGCUCUAAAUUUUGUUUUGAAACAAGGCUACCCGGCUGUAUGAAUACACUAAUGUUCAAACAAGGUACAGCUACUUGUGGUCCUUCCUGCAUCCCAGCAUUCUGGGUUCGGGACAAGGGGGGAGAGGUGACGGCCCUCUGUGCACUUGUGCUGCUGACUCGGGGCUCAUUCUUCAGAGUUCCAUUAGUGCAGCUGUACGCUUCCUGCUCCUCGCUCACUCACCAGGCCCCACUAUAGUGCUCAGAUGAAAGGAAUGAUGUAUGCUGUUUAUUAGCUCUGAAGAACUUGCAGACAUUUUCACCAGGCCGAUAACAGGAAGGGACUUAUUGAAGUAGAGAGGCGCCAACAAAAGGAGUGGGCACAUCACCACGGCAACAAAUGGAUGCAUCGAGAGCCACUGCUAUUAUCCCUGAGGGGGAAAACUCUUGAAGCAGCAAGAAUUCAUCUCAAAUAAAUAAAUAAAUAAGCCACAUUCGAUAGGAAAGCCUCCCCCUACCCCAGUGCAUGGGGCUAAUGUCAGAGGGCAUAAUGCAAGUUUUUGUUCACCUUCAUCUUAUGGGGUGAGCAACUGUCACUAUGACAGGUCAGGAUGCACUUUUUAAACUGGAUGGCAGAGCCCUGACCGACAGAUGUCUUGGCUGGACUAAACCCACUCUACGAUAUGACUUCUGAUAGAGCAAUCGACUCAAACUCCAACCUGUUUCUCCCAUGUUGGGAAUGCACAGCAUUGACCUGAGGUGCUCAGCAUCCACCCCCCUUGACAGACAGAUGGAAACAUAGCCACAAGGGGUUCUACAGAACCUGCUUGGCCAGCCAAAGCCAGAAGCCACGUCACAGUUGCAAAUCAGAUACUUCUGUUGCCUACUUUGCCCAUGUAAAUUUCCAGCUCAAUUUUUGGUCACAGGAAUGAAUGUACAUCUUAGCAAAGGUCCUCCUAAAGAAAUGCAUUGUAUAUCACCUCUCCACUUGAAAAGGACUGCAUAUAUAGGCCCAGUGUAGAUUCAAGUUGCUCAAUAAAUACUGGAGUGCCUACCACAUACAUUAUUUCAUACCUGCUGGUAGUUAUAUGGUGAUUUUCAAAAUACUUGAACAUGUAAAUUCCUAAUAAUACUGAGCACAUUUCGAUCUUCUUUUCACAGAAACUAGUCCUUUUGUAAUACAGGCUGAAAAUAAAAACUGGGUCAAUGGAGCCUCCCAGUGGCUGCUGUGUGGUGCAGCAGGACAGGCAGUACAAGCAGGUGUGCUUAAGACUGGACUGUACAGCUGUCAGGUCUUCCCGUUUUAGUGCCUUUUAUAAGGAACACACAUGCAUACAAAGGACAGUCCUUCUCAUAUCCCCCCAAUGCUCACAUCUCCAUGAUCCUUUUAUGAAAUUCAUCUCUGUCUUACAUAAUCUGAAACUUAGUGUCAAUUCUGUUGGAUUCUAGGUGGUAACAGAGCUGCCAGCCUCUGUAUCCCUGGUACUCCUAAACCUGCCAGGUAGCUUGUGAGAUUUCUUUUACAUGCAUUAAAUGUCUAUUCUACAAAGAACUCAGAGAAGUUAACGGCUGAGUAAAGAUUAUAGAGGUAAGCUGUGAUUUGUUGUUACCUCAAAGGUUGCUUUGCAGAAGAGUAUAUACUAUGCUAUUUGACAAAAAGAAAAAAGUCCAAUUUUAGAGAGUAUGUUCUCAGUGGAUAGAGCGUCGGCCUGCAGACUGGAAGGUCCCAGGUUCGAUUCCGGUCAAGGGCAUGUACCUUGGUUGCAGGCACAUCCCCAAUAGGAGGUGUGCAAGAGGCAGCUGAUCGAUGUUUCUCUCCCAUCGAUGUUUCUAACUCUCUAUCCCUCUCCAUUCCUCUCUGUAAAAAAUCAAUAAUAGCCGAAACCGAGUAUAUUUACUGUCUGAAAGUUAUCAGAUUGACAGCUCAGAUUUGUCAAUGUUCUCCAAACUCCACUGUGUUUUCAAAAACAAAUGGUUAUUGAACAUAUGUUCUUAGUGAAAUUCUGCACUUAUUCCCCAAAACUCAGCACUCUAAGAACGAAUCUCCUUGCAAGGUUCAAUUCUACUUUAUAGAAAGUAUCAGAGGCACUUAUACAACACUGGCAUUCUCUCAACUUCCUGUCAUCUUUACUGGCAGACUUGGAAGUGCCAUUAUUCAUUCAUUCACACCACUUGCCCUCCUGUGUCAGUGGAAGUGACAUUUCCCUUCUCACUGAAGCUAACUCUUCUAUCAGUGAAGUCCAUCCCAUCCCAUGUCUGCAGAACACUGUUCCCACAUUUACCUUUUUGAACAAUACUCUGUCUGCUAAUGCUUUCUCUGCAUUUGGACAGUUACUCUUGAUUCCCUACCUAUAGCUCAGAUUCAUGCUCUAAUUCCAUAUAUUCCAAUGAUCACCAGACACUGCCACCUGCUGUCUCACAGGUACAUCUAGCUUAAUGUGUCUAAAAAGAACUCCCCCCCUCUUCCAGCCCUGAUGCUCCCCUUCCUGUAUUACCUAGCUCUCUACAUGGAAGCACCGCUCCUGCCAUUCUCCAGCACGUGCUAUGCACUCCAAACAGUUGAUAGCUCCACGAAGAGGCUUGUGUCUGAACCAGUGCCUCACUAA